GGAUGAGUUGCGAACGGGUGAGUAACGCGUAGGUAACCUGCCUCUUAGCGGGGGAUAACUAUUGGAAACGAUAGCUAAUACCGCAUAAAAGUCGACAUUGCAUGAUGUUGACUUGAAAGGUGCAACUGCAUCACUAAGAGAUGGACCUGCGUUGUAUUAGCUAGUUGGUGAGGUAACGGCUCACCAAGGCGACGAUACAUAGCCGACCUGAGAGGGUGAUCGGCCACACUGGGACUGAGACACGGCCCAGACUCCUACGGGAGGCAGCAGUAGGGAAUCUUCGGCAAUGGACGGAAGUCUGACCGAGCAACGCCGCGUGAGUGAAGAAGGUUUUCGGAUCGUAAAGCUCUGUUGUAAGUGAAGAACGAGUGUGAGAGUGGAAAGUUCACACUGUGACGGUAACUUACCAGAAAGGGACGGCUAACUACGUGCCAGCAGCCGCGGUAAUACGUAGGUCCCGAGCGUUAUCCGGAUUUAUUGGGCGUAAAGCGAGCGCAGGCGGUUAGAUAAGUCUGAAGUUAAAGGCUGUGGCUUAACCAUAGUACGCUUUGGAAACUGUUUAACUUGAGUGCAGAAGGGGAGAGUGGAAUUCCAUGUGUAGCGGUGAAAUGCGUAGAUAUAUGGAGGAACACCGGUGGCGAAAGCGGCUCUCUGGUCUGU
rnacentral:rRNA from 1 species